rnacentral:tRNA from 1 species
GAGGAUAUAGCUCCGUGGUAGAGCGUGUGCUUAGUGUGCAGGAGGUUCUGGGUUCAAUCCCCAGUCCUCC